AAUGCUGUAAAAUAAAGGCA
rnacentral:miRNA from 1 species